GGACUACUAGGGUAUCUAAUCCCGUUCGCUCCCCUGGCUGUCGCUUCUCAGUGUCAGGGGCGCCCCAGGGGGCCGCCUUCGCCACGGGUGUUCCUCCUGAGCUCUACGCAUUUCACUGCUACACCAGGAAUUCCACCCCCCUCUGACGCCCUCUAGGUGCGCAGUAUUGGACGGCCGCCCCGGGUUAAGCCCGGGGGUUUCACGCCCAACUUACGCGCCCACCUACAAGCUCUUUACGCCCAAUGAAUCCGGAUAACGCUCGCCACCUACGUUUUACCGCGGCUGCUGGCAC
rnacentral:rRNA from 1 species